UCGUGUGGUCGUACCGUCUUGUCAAGGCCUGAUCUUGUCUGAUCUCUGAAGCUAAGCAGGGCCGGGUUUGGUUGGGACUUGGAUGGGAGACUGUUGUGUUUUACCAGGAGCCACAGGGG
rnacentral:rRNA from 1 species